AGAGUUUGAUCAUGGCUCAGCCUGAACGCUGGCGGCGUGGCUAAGACAUGCAAGUCGAACGGUGUAGCAAUACACAGUGGCGGACGGGUGAGUAAUGUAUCGCUAAUGUGCCCUAGAGCCAGGGAUAGCCAUCCGAAGGGGUGGGUAAUACCUGAUGAAAUAAUCCUACCGCAUGGCAGGAUUCUCAAAGCAGCAAUGCACUCCUGGAGCAGGCGAUAUCGUAUCAGCUAGUUGGUGAGGUAACGGCUCACCAAGGCGAUGACGCGUAGCUGGUCUGAGAGGACGGCCAGCCACAUCGGGACUGAGACACUGCCCGGACUCCUACGGGGGGCUGCAGUAACGAAUCUUCCGCAAUGCACGAAAGUGUGACGGAGCGACGCCGCGUGGAGGAGAAGUCCUUCGGGAUGUAAACUCCUGUCAGGGGAAAGAAAGUUCUGAUCUACCCCAGAGGAAGAGGCGGCUAACUCUGUGCCAGCAGCCGCGGUAAUACAGAGGCCUCGAGCGUUAGGCGGAAUCACUGGGCUUAAAGCGUGUGUAGGUGGAUGCCUAAGUACUUUGUGAAAUCCCACGGCUUAACCGUGGAAUUGCUUGGUAUACUGGGUGUCUUGAGCCACUCAGGGGCUACCGGAACAAACGGUGGAGCGGUGAAAUGCGUAGAUAUCGUUUGGAACGCCAAUGGUGAAAACAGGUAGCUGGGGGUGUGCUGACACUGAGACACGAAAGCCAGGGGAGCGAACGGGAUUAGAUACCCCGGUAGUCCUGGCCCUAAACGAUGUCCACUAGAUCGUGGUCCCUUGACGGGGAUCAUGGUCGAAGCAAAAGUGCUAAGUGGACCGCCUGGGAAGUACGGUCGCAAGGCUAAAACUCAAAGGAAUUGACGGGGGCUCACACAAGCGGUGGAGCAUGUGGUUCAAUUCGAAGCAACGCGCAGAACCUUACCUGGGCUUGACAUGCUAGGAUUAUCCCUGGUG
rnacentral:rRNA from 1 species